GCGUACCGGGGGGCGGGGGGUAGGGGGGAGAACGGGGGCCGAGGGCUUCUAGGGGCUCCGAGAAGACGCCGGCGAGGCUGCAGACCUCGGGGGUUCCAGUGCAGUGACAUCACGAGGAGGUCACACCCGUGCAGCCAGAGGCGGAGCUGGAUGCGGAUUGUAACCCUCGCACCUGUAGGGCUGCCCUCGUCCCCGAUAGUCCUGGGCCCGACCCCGGGGGCAAAGAGACCAAGGCAGAGUCGGGUGGAAGGUUUUCUGAGCGAUGGGAGGGCCGAGGGGACGGACACGGAAAGGAAGGACUUUGUAAAUGAGGGUGGUUCUCGUGCUGGACGGGAUCCAUCCUCCCGGGCCCCAGGUUGCAUGGUGCAGACGAGGUAAGGAAACCGGUGACCCCGACUAGCCGGUGACUCAGCACAGGUUGGGCCUGCGCCCAGAGCCCGGCACGGUGUCCCCGUGCGGCUGAGGCUUGCCCCCCAAAGGACCUGGGGACCGACGCGAAAGCAAGUUCCCGGUCUGCCCAGACAGAGGCUGGCACAGCACGGGCAGCAAAGGGCCCACCAGCUGAGGACUGAGAAAACCCCACUGCUCGCUCUGAAGUCGCAGCUCCAGCUCUCCAGGGCCUUCAUUUGCGAGGUGACUGUCACCAGGGUCACUCCAGGGGGCUUGGCUGGGAGACAGGAGGAUGCAUGUGGGAAAAUCCUACAGCCCUGCAGGUGGGUGAGCCGGGCUCCCAGACGGUGGUGCAGAAAGAUGCUGAUGGCCUGGGCAACAGGCUGGAAGUGUGACUUCAUGUCCUGGGCACUGAGGUGUGACCUGAUGUGUGUCACUUGCGUUGACUGCAUGCACGGUGGCCCUUCCUUCCUGCAGGAUUCUAGGCGGAGUCAAAUGUGCUGAUCUGGUGGAGGAGACAAGCGCCACCUGCUGGCUUCCUCCUCCCCCCAAACCUCCUCUCUCACCAACCUCUAUUAUCCCCUCAACCUCCCAGACGUUUAAAAACCGGGCUUGAUAUGCUAUAUGUUGGCAAAUUGAACUCCAAUUAAAAAAAGAAAAAUAGAUUGUCAUUGUGUUUCAGACAAUCGUUUGACACAGCUCCACGCCUAAGCUAGUCUCAUUCUCAUUGCUAUCCUUUGUUCCAUAAGCUCUUAGCUUCUUUUAAAACUAAUGUUUCUGUAUUAUGCACACAGAAAUACUCAUACAGUUUUAUACAAAUUCAUGCACAGAAUCUUAUGCACAUUGUAAAUGGUCUUAGUGCUUGCAGGCAGUCUAUUUUUUAUAGCUUGUAAAAAUAAAUAAAUAAUAAAAUAAAUAAUAAAAACCAGGCUUGAAAACAAAAA